UACGGAGGAUCCAAGCGUUAUCCGGAUUUAUUGGGUUUAAAGGGUGCGUAGGUGGCUUUUUAAGUCAGGGGUGAAAGACGGUGAGCUUAACUAUCGCAGUGCCUUUGAUACUGAAGAGCUUGAAUGAACUAGAGGUAGGCGGAAUGUGACAAGUAGCGGUGAAAUGCAUAGAUAUGUCACAGAACACCAAUUGCGAAGGCAGCUUACUAUGGUUUUAUUGACACUGAGGCACGAAAGCGUGGGGAUCAAACAGG
rnacentral:rRNA from 1 species